GGACCGAGAAGUUACCCAAAACCUCAGCUGAUCACUUUGUGAACCUGAAGUAUCUGGAAGCUCGCGAGAGCAAAUUAGUUCGGUCUUGAAUUCCAUGUGAAUUCUGUCUAUUUAACCUCUAUAUCAGUCGAGAUGGAAACGCGGUGGCUAGGUUGCGCGUUUCCAAUUAAUUGGCACCGGAUUUCCAGUAGGGAGAUCUGGGGGUACUGAACGCCAUAGUAGAGACAAUAGGCCACCAUCGGCGAUGAGACGUAACGCACAUCGCAGCAAC
rnacentral:sRNA from 1 species